CCGCAUAACGUCGCAAGAACAAAGAGGGGGACCUUCGGGCCUCUUGCCAUCGGAUGUGCCCAGAUGGGAUUAGCUAGUAGGUGGGGUAACGGCUCACCUAGGCGACGAUCCCUAGCUGGUCUGAGAGGAUGACCAGCCACACUGGAACUGAGACACGGUCCAGACUCCUACGGGAGGCAGCAGUGGGGAAUAUUGCACAAUGGGCGCAAGCCUGAUGCAGCCAUGCCGCGUGUAUGAAGAAGGCCUUCGGGUUGUAAAGUACUUUCAGCGGGGAGGAAGGGAGUAAAGUUAAUACCUUUGCUCAUUGACGUUACCCGCAGAAGAAGCACCGGCUAACUCCGUGCCAGCAGCCGCGGUAAUACGGAGGGUGCAAGCGUUAAUCGGAAUUACUGGGCGUAAAGCGCACGCAGGCGGUUUGUUAAGUCAGAUGUGAAUCCCCGGGCUCAACCUGGGAACUGCAUCUGAUACUGGCAAGCUUGAGUCUCGUAGAGGGGGGUAGAAUUCCAGGUGUAGCGGUGAAAUGCGUAGAGAUCUGGAGGA
rnacentral:rRNA from 1 species